rnacentral:lncRNA from 1 species
CAGGAGCCUCAGAUGCAGCCUUGAAUGGAAGCCAGCAUUUGCAUAGCUCUCAUCAGUCACAGGCAUUGAGAAGUCAAAAGAGUACUAGAAAGUACUUUCUGCUCUGAAUUCGGCAAACUUCAUUGUGCCAUGGAAAGCUGGGGAACAGCAGCACAGUUAGAGGAUCAAAAUAAUAUUGGCAAAGGUAUAUUUCAGAAGUGUAUUGCUUUACCAUUCUGCCUCCUG